rnacentral:lncRNA from 1 species
UUGCUAUUAGAUCAGAUUUAGUAUUUUACAUUAUAUGUCUCAGUACAAUAAAACAAAGGCAAACAAAAUUUGAAUAGUAGGGAAAGGUUUUAAAUUCUUGAGAUAACUAGUACAACUUGGUUUCUGUCUGUUGGCAUUUUGGUAAUUAACUUACAAAAAGUUAGGCUAAAUUUUUGAAACUAAGUCAGCAUUAUACACCAGUAACUUCUUACAAAAUUGUCUCAAUAUUCCAUUUAAUUAAAGAGCUUAUGUUCACUUCUCCCACCCUUUGUGAAAAUUCUCCCAACCUGUCCCAAUUCUCACCCAAAUUUUAAAUACCAUUUACCAAUCAAUAGCAGUGGCAAUGCAAAAGGCCCCUCUCCCUCCCAAAGCUGUAUAUCAAAGAUAUCAAUACCAGAUAUUCUUCAAUCCAUUAAGUCUUCAGUAGAAUGAUGUGUUUAAGGUCUGAAAUUAUUGUAAAAUGCAAAAGUGAAAACAUUUGCAGCUAAUGGUCCAUGUGUUACAUAACUCAUUUACAGGUAACAGAUAAAAGCUUUGGAAGCCAGUGUUCUCUCCAGGGAUGCUUUCCUUCAGUAGGAUUAACAAUUUGACUAAAGUGUCCUUGUCAUUUUUCUUUAGGGGUAAGGGCUCAUUUCACCCUGAGCAACCCCAACUCAACCACACUGGGGAAACCAUACCACAGGUAGCAUUCACUAGUUUUAAGUAAUAUUUUGACAUUUACUUCAUGUUCUUCAUUAAUCAAAAGAUCACUCUACGUCCCUCCCCAAACUAAAUGUCACUCAACUCUACUUCCCUUAAAAGACAUUAUUCUGUUCAUACUAUUAAUACUUACAUGAAUUCUAGAACUGCCCAACUGUUACUUUUAUUAUACACAAGCCUCUGACCUAAAUUCAAUAAUUACAUUCAUGACUCCUUUCCUAUAUAGUUGUUCAUCUGUUUUGAGGCAGGAAGAUUGCUUGUGCCCAGAAGAUGGAGGUUGCAGUGAGCCAAGAUUAUGCCACUGCACUCCAGCCUGGGAAAAACAGCAAGACACUGUCUCAAAAAACAAAACAAAACAAAACAAAAACAGUUUUCAAGCUUUCUGGACAGCUGGAGGUUAAUAAGUAGUACUUCAGAAAUAUGAGCCGGGAACCAUACUCUGCAGUUAUUUUACAUUAUCUCCGAUAUUCUCAAACAUCAAACUAAAGCUAUUUUAGAGAAAGGAACCAAGUAACUCACUCAAAAUUUCUCAUAGGUAAUGAGGAAAGCUCUGGCUGACUAUAAGAAAAAAAAAAUUGGAUGACUAGGCUCUCAUUUUGCUAAAUUACCACGUUAAUUAUGAGCCCAACUACCACCCCUGCCAGCUUUCACUUAUAAAUGCUAGAAAAACACUUCACACAAAAAAAUACAUAAGAUUACUAUAUUUCCUUUUAAGAGGAACGUUUCAACAAAUUUUACAGGUGUCAAUCAACCCUUGUUCAAAUCGGGCACACAUCAAAUCUAGCA